AUUUAAAUACAUCCCAUGUUAAGGUUUAAC
rfam:Clostridium tetanomorphum DSM 665 contig84, whole genome shotgun sequence.